CCUACGGGAGGCAGCAGUGGGGAAUAUUGCACAAUGGGGGAAACCCUGAUGCAGCGACGCCGCGUGAGUGAAGAAGUAUCUCGGUAUGUUAAGCUCUAUCAGCAGGGAAGAAGAAAGACGGUACCUGACUAAGAAGCCCCGGCUAACUACGUGCCAGCAGCCGCGGUAAUACGUAGGGGGCAAGCGUUAUCCGGAUUUACUGGGUGUAAUGGGAGCGUAGACGGCUGUGCAAGUCUGAAGUGAAAGCCCAGGGCUCAACCCUGGGACUGCUUUGGAAACUGUGGGGCUAGAGUGCUGGAGAAGUAAGUGGAAUGCCUGGUGUAGCGGUGAAAUGCGUAGAUAUUGGGAGGAACACCAGUGGCGAAGGCGGCUUACUGGACAGUAACUGACGUUGAGGCUCGAAAGCGUGGGGAGCGAACAGGAUUAGAUACCCGUGUAGUC
rnacentral:rRNA from 1 species